UGUUCUAUGGCUUAGUAGGUUAAUUCGCCGGACUGGUGAUACGGAGUCGUGGGUUCGAAUCCCACCAAAACAA
rnacentral:tRNA from 1 species